rnacentral:rRNA from 1 species
UUUCUGGUUGAUCCUGCCGGAGGUUACUGCUAUCGGUGUUCGCCUAAGCCACGCGAGUCAUAUGUUCUUCGUGAACAUGGCGUACUGCUCAGUAACACGUGGAUAACCUGCCCUUGGGUCUGGGAUAACCCCGGGAAACUGGGGAUAAUACCGGAUAACGCAUAUAUGCUGGAAUGCUUUAUGCGUAAAAUGGAUUCGUCUGCCCAAGGAUGGGUCUGCGGCCUAUCAGGUAGUAGUGGGUGUAAUGUACCUACUAGCCUACAACGGGUACGGGUUGUGAGAGCAAGAGCCCGGAGAUGGAUUCUGAGACAUGAAUCCAGGCCCUACGGGGCGCAGCAGGCGCGAAAACUUUACAAUGCGGGCAACCGUGAUAAGGGAACCUCGAGUGCCUGUAAAUGCAGGCUGUUCAGAUGCCUAAAACACAUCUGGAGAAAGGGCCGGGCAAGACCGGUGCCAGCCGCCGCGGUAAUACCGGCGGCUCGAGUGGUGGCCACUUUUAUUGGGCUUAAAGCGUUCGUAGCUGGGUUGUUAAGUCUCUUGGGAAAUCUGGCGGCUUAACCGUCAGGCGUCUAAGGGAUACUGGCAAUCUUGGAACCGGGAGAGGUGAGGGGUACUUCGGGGGUAGGAGUGAAAUCCUGUAAUCCUCGAGGGACCACCUGUGGCGAAGGCGCCUCACCAGAACGGCUUCGACAGUGAGGGACGAAAGCUGGGGGAGCAAACCGGAUUAGAUACCCGGGUAGUCCCAGCCGUAAACUAUGCGCGUUAGGUGUAUCGGUGACCACGAGUUACCGAGGUGCCGAAGGGAAACCGUGAAACGUGCCGCCUGGGAAGUACGGUCGCAAGGCUGAAACUUAAAGGAAUUGGCGGGAA